rnacentral:rRNA from 1 species
UACGGGGGGCUGCAGUUGCGGAAUAUUGCACAAUGGGCGCAAGCCUGAUGCAGCCAUGCCGCGUGUGUGAAGAAGGCUCUAGGGUUGUAAAGCACUUUCAGCGAGGAGGAAAGGUUGGUUGUUAAUACCGGCCAACUGUGACGUUACUCGCAGAAGAAGCACCGGCUAACUCCGUGCCAGCAGCCGCGGUAAUACGGAGGGUGCGAGCGUUAAUCGGAAUUACUGGGCGUAAAGCGUGCGUAGGCGGCUACUUAAGUUGGAUGUGAAAGCCCCGGGCUCAACCCGGGAACUGCAUCCAAAACUGGGUAGCUGGAGUGCGGAAGAGGAGUGUGGAAUUUCCUGUGUAGCGGUGAAAUGCGUAGAUAUAGGAAGGAACACCAGUGGCGAAGGCGACACUCUGGUCUGACACUGACGCUGAGGUACGAAAGCGUGGGGAGCAAACAGGAUUAGAUACCCUGGUAGUCCACGCCGU